UGAAACUGCUGCCGGCUCAUUCAUUCACCAGCUCACUCUCAACACACAGACGAGACGACUGGGUUGAUGCGUGAAUGAUCCGGGAGCUGAUUUC
rnacentral:pre_miRNA from 1 species